rnacentral:rRNA from 1 species
UACGUAGGGUACGAGCGUUGUCCGGAAUUAUUGGGCGUAAAGAGCUCGUAGGCGGUCUGUCGCGUCGAUCGUGAAAACUUGGGGCUUAACCCUGAGCUUGCGGUCGAUACGGGCAUGACUGGAGUUCGGCAGGGGAGACUGGAAUUCCUGGUGUAGCGGUGAAAUGCGUAGAUAUCGGGAGGAACACCAGUGGCGAAGGCGGCUAGCUGGCCUGUAACUGACGCUGAGGCGCGAAGGCUAGGGGAGCGAACAGG